GAUGAACGCUGGCGGCGUGCUUAACACAUGCAAGUCGAACGGUGAAGGCGGAGCUUGCUCUGCUGGAUCAGUGGCGAACGGGUGAGUAACACGUGAGCAAUCUGCCCCUGACUCUGGGAUAAGCGCUGGAAACGGCGUCUAAUACUGGAUACGAGCUGCGAAGGCAUCUUCAUCAGCUGGAAAGAACUUCGGUCAGGGAUGAGCUCGCGGCCUAUCAGCUUGUUGGUGAGGUAACGGCUCACCAAGGCGUCGACGGGUAGCCGGCCUGAGAGGGUGACCGGCCACACUGGGACUGAGACACGGCCCAGACUCCUACGGGAGGCAGCAGUGGGGAAUAUUGCACAAUGGGCGAAAGCCUGAUGCAGCAACGCCGCGUGAGGGACGACGGCCUUCGGGUUGUAAACCUCUUUUAGCAGGGAAGAAGCGAAAGUGACGGUACCUGCAGAAAAAGCGCCGGCUAACUACGUG
rnacentral:rRNA from 1 species